rnacentral:rRNA from 1 species
GAUGAACGCUGGCGGCGUGCCUAAUACAUGCAAGUCGAACGAACAGACGAGGAGCUUGCUCCUCUGACGUUAGCGGCGGGCGGGUGUGUAACACGUGUAUAACCCACCUAUAUGACUGGGAUAACUUCGGGAAACCGGAACUAAUACCGGAUAAUCUAUUGAACCGCAUGGUUCAAUAGUGAAAGACGGUUUUGCUGUCACUUAUAGCUGGAUCCGCGCGGCAUUAGCUAGUUGGUAAGGUAACGGCUUACCAAGGCGACGAUGCGUAGCCGACCUGAGAGGGUGAUCGGCCACACUGGAACUGAGACACGGUCCAGACUCCUACGGGAGGCAGCAGUAGGGAAUCUUCCGCAAUGGGCGAAAGCCUGACGGAGCAACGCCGCGUGUGUGAUGAAGGUCUUCGGAUCGUAAAACUCUGUUAUUAGGGAAGAACAGAUGUGUAAGUAACUAUGCACUUAUUGACGGUACCUGAUGAGAAAGCCACGGCUAACUACGUG